UCAACAUGCGAUCGCCGCGGCUAGAGAACUUGGCUUUAAAGAUUUUUGUUAUAAUUUUCGGUUUAUCCGAAAUCUUUGUUGUUGUCUUAAUUUUUCGAUCAGUUUUAUUUUGUUCGUUGAAUAAACAAAGUCAGAUCGUUGUUCUAAAAAACAAAAGCAAAAAAAAAGUGAGAGAUAAAUGAGCUGAGAGCUCCCACCCUAGGCCUAAUUGAGAAAAGUAGUUUAAUAAUUCAUGUGAUGUAAAAAGUUUGUGGCCAGUUGAUACAGUCUGACAAAAAAUAUGUGGUUCUGUUGGCAAGUUAGCAAAAACUGGAGCUAGUGAGACGGCCCCCAAAAACCGUGGUUUCUUGAAAUUUACCAUGUUUAUUUUGCCAAAUAUCUAUGGGUGUGUCCAUAUCUCAGGUGCCUGAUUUUUUAAGUAAAAGAUUUAAUUCUUGGUCGAUAGUAUCAAAGUCACUCGUUUCCCUUUGCUGCGAAUUUUAAGACACAUCU
rnacentral:lncRNA from 1 species